CAUUCUUCCUGAAAAUGUAAAGUUACUCAUUCUAACUCAAAAUUGGUUACAUGGUUUUGAAGAAUUAGAUGGAGAUAAAAUGGAUGUGCAAAGAGAAGAAAUUGUUAUUGACAUUUCCGUGCAAGAUUCUAAUUAAGUUUAUUUUGCAAGACUUUCGUAUGA